AGCGAACGCUAGCGGCGGGCUUAACACAUGCAAGUCGAGCGGACUUUUUCGGAAGUCAGCGGCGAACGGGUGAGUAACACGUAGGUAACGUACCCUCUGGUGGGGAAUAACUCAGGGAAACUUGAGCUAAUACCGCAUGUGCCCUUCGGGUGAAAGACUUCGGUUGCCAGAGGAUCGGCCUGCGGCCCAUUAUUUAAUCCUAGUUGGUAGGGUAACGGCCUACCAAGGGUACGAUGGGUAGCUGGUCUGAGAGGAUGAUCAGCCACACUGGGACUGAGACACGGCCCAGACUCCUACGGGAGGCAGCAGUGGGGAAUAUUGGACAAUGGGCGAAAGCCUGAUCCAGCCACGCCGCGUGAGUGAUGAAGGCCUCGGUU
rnacentral:rRNA from 1 species